AUUCCAGCUCCAAUAGCGUAUAUUAAUGUUGUUGCAGUUAAAAAGCUCGUAGUUGGAUUUCUGCGCCGCGCAACUCGGUCCGCUGCACUGCAGUGUGAUGUGUGGUUGGAGCGUCGCAUCCUUGUGGGGACUGUUUGUGUCAUUAAUUUGAUGGAUUCCGGAACCGCAUCGUUUACUGUGAAAAAAUUAGAGUGUUCAAAGCAGGCUUAUGCCGUGAAUACAUUAGCAUGGAAUAAUAAGAUAGGACUUUGGUUCUAUUUUGUUGGUUGGAGGCCAAGGUAAUGAUUGAUAGGGAUAGUUGGGGGUGCUAGUAUUUUGCGGCCAGAGGUGAAAUUCUGUGAUUCGAGAAAGACUAACUUAUGCGAAAGCAUUCACCAAGGAUGUCUUCA
rnacentral:rRNA from 1 species